ensembl:lncRNA
AGGGAUUCAAGAGAAACGCAGCUGUUUUGGCUUCGCCUCAGUUCUGUUUCACCUAAACACGGGUGUACCGUCGAUCGCCGCUGCAUUGCCGACAGGGUCAGACGCCAAUCUCACUGGCACUCCGCCUCCGGAAUGCGAGAGAAGCUCCGCCAGAGGUGUGAGUUGAAAAUCUGUUGGACGGGGGCCUCCCCAGACGUUCCCAGUGGACCCGCACUACGUGCUUGGGCUUACCAGAUCUAUCCUGAGUCUUCUCCCAGCCACUGAUGAUGAUCAGUUGACAACUCUGCCCCUCUCUUUACCCAAGUGUCCAAAACAUGACAGCCUCACAUCAGCCGAAACGACCACAAAAUCAUCGAUCUUCG